UACGAAGGGGGCUAGCGUUGCUCGGAAUUACUGGGCGUAAAGGGCGCGUAGGCGGACAGUUUAGUCAGAGGUGAAAGCCCAGGGCUCAACCUUGGAAUUGCCUUUGAUACUGGCUGUCUUGAGUUCGGGAGAGGUGAGUGGAAUGCCGAGUGUAGAGGUGAAAUUCGUAGAUAUUCGGCGGAACACCAGUGGCGAAGGCGACUCACUGGCCCGAUACUGACGCUGAGGCGCGAAAGCAUGGGGAGCGAACAGG
rnacentral:rRNA from 1 species